CUGAGGUCUGCGCGGUAGUCACUGGUCGCGGGGACUAAGGGCUAAGGGUUGCUAAGUGGGCAGGGUACGCGGGGCCGGGUCUGCAGCGCUGCUGAGGGUCUGCGAGAGUGUUGGAGGAGAUGAGCGCGCGACUCGCGCGCCAGGCGGGGUUGCACCGCCCAGGCCAGACGGGGUUAGGGGCAGGGAGAGCGACAGCCCUGGAGCCUCGGGGAUUGGGAAGAAGGAGACGCCCAAAGCGGCUUUCGGCGGAGCCACAGCUCGGGUCUUCCAGCGCCCGGCCGGUGGACAGAGCGGAAGGAGACGCGGAUCCGCCUCGGAGCCAGGCGCUUCUAGGAGGUACCCGGAGAGGGGUGCCAGGUGGGGGUCGAUACCCACGCACACCGGGUCUGGCUCGGUCGACCCGCCUUCCCAGCUGGGAUCUCGUGUGUAGACCCGCGCACCGCCCGAUGCCGUCUGGGGCGGCCUGUGCCAAUCACCUCGCUCAGUUCUCAUCGCUCGGCCGCCGCUUUCGCCUGGCUGCGGGACUCACCGAGCGCAAAACCCCAAGAUCUCGAGACACGCACGCGGCGGGGCGCCGCUGGGGCCCCCCCGAUCCGGG
rnacentral:lncRNA from 1 species